rnacentral:rRNA from 1 species
UACGUAGGGUGCGAGCGUUGUCCGGAAUUAUUGGGCGUAAAGAGUUUGUAGGCGGUCUGUCGCGUCUGCUGUGAAAAUCCGGGGCUCAACCCCGGACUUGCAGUGGGUACGGGCAGACUAGAGUGUGGUAGGGGAGACUGGAAUUCCUGGUGUAGCGGUGAAAUGCGCAGAUAUCAGGAGGAACACCAAUGGCGAAGGCAGGUCUCUGGGCAUUAACUGACGCUGAGGAGCGAAAGCAUGGGGAGCGAACAGG